AACACAUGAUUUUUUUUAUCAUUUAAGCUAUCCAAUAGUAUUAAAAACUAAGGGAGGUGGGACAUAGAUCAAUAUUAAAGAGAAUUUCAUGAGAUACAAAACCCCAUAAAUAUGAAGUGGGUUCUGUGGGAUAUAGUACCCACUUCAUAUUUAUAUAUCACUGUCCAUCACACCAACUAGUGUAACUCAGGCAGUCAAAUCUGCUCUGGCUUGAGGCUUCUGCUGAUUCAAAGUGGCUGUAAAAAUAUGGUCUCCUUUCAAGUUUUUCAAAGAUCCAUGAAGAAAUUAAACUUCUUAUGGCUUGUUUCUGGAUCAACUGGAAGCUGAACUUUCUUUAGAAAAGAAUUUGUCUUGUUUGGUCCACAGACAUAACCCAAUUUCCUUACUAAAUCUUACAGAAAGAGAGGGGCAGCUUAUGAGCCAUAUUUCCCAACUUAAUUUUUGAAAACAUAGUUUGAAAAUUUGAUUUAUCUUAUUAUUUAGUUUUUUGGCACCCCCAGAAGUUUUGUGUCUGUCAGGCCUCACCCCAUUCUUGCCUUGCUGAGAGUCCUCUAUCCUAGAAACUCACUAUGUUCAUUCCAGGGGGAGUAUUAGACUUGUGUGCUAGUCUAAUAUCUCUUUAUCUCACAAUGCCACACAUUUUCUGUGAAGCAGUUUGUCCUCUGCCAACCUAAAAAUGCCUUCACUUAAAUCUUCCAGAGUGAGGUGGGUGGGGGGGGGAGGAGAGGUCAGGAGAAAGGGCCCAAGGCAAAGAAAACAAGGAGCGGGAAGAGGAAGUGGCCAGUGCCCAGUGAACCCACAUGUGUGAAAGGCUAAUCCAGCAAUCACUCAGUAAUCAUCACCAUGAAAUCAGACCGGGUGACUUUGCUCACUACUCAGAUGAUUGCCUUCCUCACCUCCCUCAGAACCUCACUUCCUAAACCAAAGUGACCUUCUGAAACCUGGCCACUCCACCUUAGGUCUUGGCCCCAUGCCCCUCCAGUGCAACAGCCUCUACACACCAUUAGCUUCCUUCCAAAGUCCCUGUCUACUUCUCAUCCAUGGCAACAUUUUUUCCUGCUUUCACAAGAAGGGUGCUUGUCCAUGUGCCAAUUAAAAAAACACUGGAGUGAAGAGAGCUCUUAAAACUUCCAACGCACCUACAUUUUACUGUUGNAGAGUGAGUUUCAGGGGCUCUGACAUGGAAGGAAGAAUAGGGCUUGGAACUCUGCUGCACUCAAUGUUCAGAAUAGCACUUGUGGGUCAGUAAUGCUCAGAGAACAUAGUGUUGAGAGAGUGAUUAUGUUUUAAGAUGGUUUGGCUGUCAACCAAAUAACAUGUAACUGCCUACUGCUUAUUGGAAAAUUUUUAAGAAUGAUAAUAAUAAAGAAGUAAACUGGUAUAGAAGUAAGACAUCAUUUUUUAGAUGGAUCCCACGUAGAUGGGAUGGGAAUCAGGAUGAGGGGACAUUGGCUUGGCUUCCCCUGGGUCCCAGAACAUUUCUCUGUAGAAGGUGGACCUCUGUCCAAUCUCCUCCCAGAAUAUCCGUUUUUCUCAUCAACCCCAUGCUGACCGGAGGAACUUAGGGUAGUCAUUCAUCUCUCCCUUGCAGUUUCUCUGCCUUAACAUGGAGUCAGUGUUACUGGUCCCUUCCUCUCACACUCAGUGUGGGCUAAGUGGUGAGAUGGGCAAGCCCAAGCAAGUUGGCCCAGGAGAGAAGCCAGGCCCAGAAGGUAAGGCAGAGCCUAAGGAAGACUAGCCAGACCCAACGUUCUCCUAAAACUGACUCUUCAAGGUGAUUUUUUUUUUUGUAUUUGAUUAGUUUUUCAUUGAAUUCUUUUCAUUUUUUCCCCAGCUCUGAGGAUGUGACCCACUUUUCUUUCUGUCAUGACAGCUGCUCUUCUGCUCCCAUUUCCACCCCUUCAAGACUGAUAAAGACCAGGAGGCUUUCUCUCAAUGUUUGUGCUAUCACAGAAGCAAGCACCCAUCUACUGUCAUUUCUCACUUCUCAAAAUUGUUUCCACUGAACCACAAGUAAUUAGGAUUGUUUAUAAGUUGCUGGUUUUAGUUACCUUGGUCAUUUUUGAGGCAUCGAAGGGGAAUAAUGCUCAUAGAUCAGUGAUGGCUGUGGUUCUGAACUGAAGCAGAAUCACAGCCAAAAAAGAGAUUUAAUUAAUAAUUUAUAUGUUUAAUAAUAAAAAUAACACAAAUAUGCAAAAAUAAUAUCCACAUAAGUCCUUCACUAGUACAUCUAAAGCAUCAUGAAGGAGACACAUGUUUCUCAGAAAUACUUUCUAUUUUUAUAUUGAUUUUUGUUCCCCUUUCUCAUCUACACUCAUAUACUGAAGAUUCUCCCAUAAUUUCUCCUUGGGGCCCCACCUCACCCCAGAUAAAUACCUUAAAUAUUCUCAGCCCAGGAACUUGCUAUUGUACAUAAAUUUUAUGUAAAAUAAUGAAGACCUUCCACUCUUCUGCCACUUCCUAGAUCUUGCUCUUUCCUAUUCAAUUUCUCACACACACCCCCAAAAAAGCAAAAAACAGAAACAAAUACCAAAAAAAAAAAAACACCACAAGGAAAAGAUACACUGCUCUGGAAUAACAGGCAUCUCCUUAAAGGGUAUGACAGGGGAAGAACCUAUCUAACAAAUUAUAAGGCACUGCUUACCCUUUAUUGAUACUGGAGGAGAGAAAACAUAGAGAUACUUACUUGCUCACAUAUUCAUGCAAUCACAGGAAAUAGUCCAUAUCUGUCACAGUACCCAGUCUGUUUCAACAUCAAGUUUUGGUUUAAAACAAAGAGGCCCAACCCUAUGGACAGACAGUUCUCAAUGAGAAUGGUAUCCCUCCUUACUCUAAGAAUUCUAGCUCCGGGCUCUACCAUUUCUUGGUAGACUCAACUCCUAGUGCAGACCUUUCAGUUGGAAAUCCUGGGUCUUUCCCAGCGUUUUGGAAUUACAGCAGUAAUGAUGGUAACAAUAAUGGUGAAGAUGAUCAUAGCUAACUUUGAUAAGGCAAUUCUUAUGGGCCAGGUAGUGGGUAAGCAUGUAACACAGAUAUUCUCCUUUGGCUCCCAAGUCUUAAAGAACUGUUUUAGUUAUUCUAGUGCUGUCUAAUUGCCUUAAAACUUAGCAGCUUAAAACAGCACACACUUAUCAUCUUACACUUUCCAUGGGCCUGGAAUUUGGCCAUGACUUAGCUGGGUCCUUGGCAUCAAGGUCCUCAGUCAAGGUGUUGCUUAGGAUCUGGUCAUCUGAAGGCUCAAUUGAGCAAGUCUUUCAUUCCAAGUUCACAUGGUUAUUGGUAGAAUGUAGUUCCUCACUGGCUGGGGGACUAAGGGCCUUGGUUCUUUACUGACUGUUGGCUAGAAAGCGCCCUGUCAUAUGGGCCUCUCCAAUAUGGCAGCUUCUUUCUUCAAAGAGUGCAAGCCAUGAGGGCAAUAGAGUCUGCUAACAAGACAGAAGGCAUAAUCUUUUGUAACCUAAUCCAGGGUGAUAUCAUCACCUUUGCCUUAUGCAGUUGCUUAGAGUCAAAUCACUAUGUCUAGGCCACACUCAAAAUAUUCAGCUCACACUCAAGAGGACAUGAAUAUCAAGAGGCAGGAAUCUUCAAGGGUCAUCUUAGAAAUCUGUCAACUUCAAGACCAAUUGGAGAAAAAGGGAGAAGGGGCUGUUUUAAAGUUACAAGGAUAAUAUCAAGACUAGAUAAUGAAAAUAGUCCAGGAUAAAGACUGAAACUAAUAAAAGAUAGAGGUUAGGGGGUGAAAUGAGAAAGGACCUUAUAUCAUUUUUCAUCCAGUGUUUUUCUCUCUCUUUCCUAGCCUAUAACAUGAAGGCAGAAUUUAAGAGAUGGUGGGUAUGAGGUGAAAGGAGGGAACUUCAACUAUGGCACUGCAUAAAGAACUGCUUUUUCCACUGAGAAAGUAAAUGGAGAA
rnacentral:lncRNA from 1 species